rnacentral:lncRNA from 1 species
GUUAUAAAAAAAAAAUAUUAUUAGAAAUCAUAAAUUUAAAAUCCAAAAAACACCAAUUGUUCAUAAAAUAAAAUAAAAGAAAUGGUCCAUAAAAGAAAAAAAAUGUAAAAAUAAUUAGAAAACAUCUAAUAACUCGGGGGAAAUUUAGCAUGCAUCUCUUUCAUAAAAUUUACAAGUUCCACGUCUCUCCGUUUCUUGUCUUCUUUCUCCUCUCCCAUUAGCUUUUCAAGUGCUUCGAUACGGUCGUCUUUCUCUUGAAGGGCUUUCUCGAGUUCGGGAUCGCGGAUACAGAAUUGCGAUGAUGAUGUGACUCUAUACCAAUAUUUCAAAGAAAACCGUACACAUACUAAAUUUAAAAACAAUUCAACAAAAAUAUCAUCCAUAAUCCCUUAAAGAAUAUAUAUAUAUAUAUAUAUAUAUAUAUAUAUAAGUUAAAAAGUUGUAAUUUUAAAAUAUCUCUAAAUAGCAGAAUACAAAUUAUAAAGAUUCAAAUAUCAUUUACCUAAAUUUAUUUGAUUUUUUUUAAAUGCAUAAAAAAUCUACAUUAGCAUUUUUUAGAAAAUCUUUAAAAAAUACCAAAAUUAAAAACAAUUCAACAAAAAUAUAUCUAAACUAUUUUAAAAUUCGUUGAUACACUAAUAAAACCAACAAAUAUAAAUAUAAGAAUAGAUCCAUACUAAUAACAAUUAAUCUGAAAUUAUUUUAAUUUAAAUAAAAUUAAAAUUCAACCCAAUUCUAUAAAAUUGUUAAAAACCCACAAAUAUCUCCUAAUCUAACAUAACAAUCACUUAAUCUAACUUAUUUCAACACAAACAUGUAACUUUUGGGAUUCAAUUCCUAUCUAACCACCUAAAUUAUCAAAUUCACAUUACAAAACCUAAAUUCUAAUAUAAACAUGAUAUAGAUUAGUUAAGGAUGAAAAACUUACAUUGUUGAGUGAUUUGGUGAUGAAUUCUGGUAAAAACGAAGGGAGAAACUCAGAGAAUCGGAAAAAAAAAAUUUAUGGUGAAAAAUUGUGUUCGGCGGAUUGGGGAAGAAGAAGAGGGUUUAUAUAUAUCACGACAUUUCCAAC